CCUACGGGGGGCAGCAGUGAGGAGUAUUGGUCAAUGGCCGGAAGGCUGAACCAGCCAUGCCGCGUGAAGGGCAGGGACCUAUGGGCGUUAAACUUCUUUUGUGCGGGAGCAAGAAUGGUCACGUGUGGCCAGACGAGAGUACCGUACGAAUAAGCAGCGGCUAACUCCGUGCCAGCAGCCGCGGUAAGACGGGGGAUGCAAUCGUUAUCCGGAGUUAGUGGGUUUAAAGGGUGCGUAGGCUGUGAGGUAAGGCAGCGGUGAAAUGCCCCCGCUCAACGGGGUGAAGUGCCAUUGAUACUGCCUUGCUGGACUGCGGCUGCCGUGGGAGGCAUGUGUGUUGUAGC
rnacentral:rRNA from 1 species